rnacentral:rRNA from 1 species
GACGAACGCUGGCGGCGUGCUUAACACAUGCAAGUCGAACGGAAAGGCCCUGCUUUUGUGGGGUGCUCGAGUGGCGAACGGGUGAGUAACACGUGAGUAACCUGCCCUUGACUUUGGGAUAACUUCAGGAAACUGGGGCUAAUACCGGAUAGGAGCUCCUGCUGCAUGGUGGGGGUUGGAAAGUUUCGGCGGUUGGGGAUGGACUCGCGGCUUAUCAGCUUGUUGGUGGGGUAGUGGUUUACCAAGGCUUUGACGGGUAGCCGGCCUGAGAGGGUGACCGGCCACAAUGGGACUGAGAUACGGCCCAGACGCCUACGGGAGGCAGCAGUGGGGAAUAUUGCACAAUGGGCGGAAGCCUGAUGCAGCAACGCCGCGUGCGGGAUGACGGCCUUCGAGUUGUAAACCGCUUUCGCCUGUGACGAAGCGUGAGUGACGGUAAUGGGUAAAGAAGCACCGGCUAACUACGUG